UUAGGGUUUCUGAAUUUCGCGAAAAAUGAAACAAAAAAAAAAAUCACCUUAUAUAUUGGGUAAAUAAUCCGGUUAGCUUUAAAAGUACAUUGGUAAACUUUAAGGUUUGGUCCGGUUAAGACGACUUAUUAUGGCUGAUAAUGUACAACAGACGACUUAAUAUUUAGUCGUUUGUUUUCAGACGACAAAAUAUUAAGUCGUCCU
rnacentral:lncRNA from 1 species